UUAGUGUUCAUACCUGUGGCAAUAUUCAGGAUUGUGUUCCAGGAAAUCAUUGUGAGAUGUCGGAAGUUGUAACUUUAAAGCUUUAAACUAAUUAUCCAUCAAAUGAAUAAUAACCCUAAACUGUUGCACUGCAUUGUCAACAUUUCCAAGAGCUCCCCAGACAGAGGCGGGCAAACAGAGGCACCGCCCCGCCAGUCGACGACCUCAGCAUAAUGACGUGUUUUUACUCUCUCUGUGUCCACAUUUCACGAGCUUUAUUUUCGAAUUGUAUCGGUUGAUAUUAAAUAGCGACUUCAUGUUGCACUAAAUGACAAAUCAGUGUUGGGAUAAAAAGACAAGCAUUUAAAUAAUAAUAACGAUUGAUUCAUUGCGUGUUUUAAGACGAGCGAACUACCAAGAACCAUCUUACUACCUCUCACCCCAUCACGAGGGGGAGUUGAUGCCUCUCCCUCCCUCCCUCCCUCUGCUCGGAGACUGUCACGCAGCGGCAAGUAUUCGUUGUGUUGUGAAUAUUGGCGUCAGUGUCACGGGGCGGCGUCGGUGUGGCAGGAAAGCGACACGUAGGUAGGUACCGUGACGCGGCCGCUGCAGAUUGGUUUAUCUGUGUGUGCUAUGCUGAGGUCCUCAUCCAUGAAGCCCUCAAAAAUAUGUGGCCUCAUGCUGGUCACCAUCUUCUCUUUUGAUAUCACCGAGUGAUUUCACAUCCACUGAGGAUCUUUGCAGGCUGCUAAGUGGUGGUGGUGGUUGCUGGUGUCCAGGUGUGGGAAUACGUGUCAAGUCACCAACCCCUCCCAGCACUGGCCAAACUCUGUGGUAACACGGAGAGCAAGUGGAAGAAACCUUGGGAGACUUCCAUGACUCAGGAACAAGCACACCUCACUGGGAGCCUUGUGACUGACAGGUGGUUCAGACCGACUGGGAGACAUGACGUCUGUGCCACCACGCAGGGAGUAAAACCAAGAGGAGGAAGAGGAGCAUUCAAGAGACAUCAGCUGGCCAGCAGUCCAUUCAGUUUCACAACAGGAAGUGAAGGAUGAAGCAUGAAGGUUUUAGGCCAAAAUGAACUGACAGCAAUCAGGAAUGACACGUCCAGCAAAACCAGCAACACAGCAGAGUGCAACCUCUACAAGUGGUGGAGGGCAUGGACACUUGGAUAUGGAUGACACUGGUUUGGGUGCCAAAUAUUCAUAGUGCACCUACACAAUUACCACACUCGCUCCUCUCACCAGGCUUAACUAUAAAUAAUUAAAGGUAAAUAACAUCUGUCAUCUAUUAUCUAUUGUAUUCUAUAUUGCUGUUAAUGUUUCAUGUAUAAUGUCUUUGCUUUCAAAUGCAAGUCAAAAGGGUGAACCCCAUUUAUAGUACUAUUCACGUUUGGCAAAUUUCACUUUUGACAUUGGUUUGGCUACACUAAUUGAACUGCUAACAGUGAGGGACUACUGUAAAUGUAGUAAUAAUUAUAAUAAUAAUAAUAAUAAUAAUAAUAAUAAUAAUAAUAAUAAUAAUAAUAAUAAAAAGUAAUGAUAAAGUGCAAGACAUGUUCAUUAACGCAAUUAUUUUCUCCAACAUGGAGGAAUGAGUGAGGAGGCACAUCUGUCUGUGAUUAGGGAAUGCAAAUGACGAUGUUCCAAGGACAUCACCCUGUCCUGGGCCAUGACAUGAGAGAGAAGAGGAAAAAAGGACUCUCUCUCUCUCUCUCUCUCUCUCUCUCUCUCUCUCUCUCUCUCUCUCUCUCUCCUCUCUCUCUCUCUCUCUCAGAGUUUCCAUAACACCAAACUACUCUGGUGUUAAUUUCAUGAGUUGCUGAAUAAUAGAAAUGGGAAUGUUAGUUCAAUGCAUUUAGCUCUGAGUAUGAAAGAAUGACAAGAAAGAAUGCAGAGGACACUAGAACACAUGCACAGAAAACUGAAAGAUUUUUAAACUUUUGAAUAGGUGUAGGAAAAAAAAAAAAAAAAAACUGCAAAAUCAGUGUCUCCUUAAAAACAACACAUGACAGCAAUGAUAACUCAUACAACAAUAAUGCUUGAUGAAGACUAUAUUUCCAACACAGAUUUAUGACAACAUUUGGCAAAGCUGUGCACUGUUUACUUGUGUUAAAACUAUGCUAUGAUUUGAGAGGAAAGUUGGUUAGUCAUUAUAGGGUUAAGAUGAUAUAAGGGUGUUUAUUUUAGCUAAUUUCCAAUGACUCCUAAUAUAAGAUUAAAACUUUAAUGAUUAAGUAACUAUUUCAUUGUUUACAUUAAUUUACACCAAAAUUUCGCAACUACAACCUCAGGGAUGUUUAGUUAAUCCAAUUUUGUUCACAACUACUACAUUUUUUCCAAUGGUUUACCCAUAGUACAACACAAACAACUACAAUAUCAUUCAUGCUAUUUCAUUCCAAAAAAAAAUUCACAACUAUGUACAUGAUCUAGUUUACAAUAAAAGGAUUUUGAACAAUA